rnacentral:rRNA from 1 species
UCGUAGUUGGNUUUCGGGUGGGUUUCAGCGGUCCGCCUAUGGUGAGUACUGCUGUGGCCUUCCUUACUGUUGGGGACCUGCUUCUGGGCUUCAUUGUCCGGGACAGGGAUUCAGCAUGGUUACUUUGAGUAAAUUGGAGUGUUCAAAGCAGGCUUACGCCGUGAACAUUUUAGCAUGGAAUAACAUGAUAGGACUCUGCCCUAUUCUGUUGGCCUGUAGGAGUGGAGUAAUGAUUAAGAGGAACAGUCGGGGGCAUUCGUAUUUCAUUGUCAGAGGUGAAAUUCUUGGAUUUAUGAAAGACGAACUACUGCGAAAGCAUUUGCCAAGGAUGUUUUCAUUAAUCAAGAACGAAAGUUGGGGGCUCGAAGACGAUUAGAUANNNUUCGUAGUCANNA